AAUAGUAUAAUUGGUUUUGUGAGUAUUCAAAAGGUGUCUUUUAUAAGUGCAGUUAUUAAAAGCAAAACAGCAGAUUGCGUUAGAAGCUAACAACCGUCAAGUGUCCUGAUAAGGAGGAGGUGGAUAAUGUUUGACAGGACUGUUGACGGAUCAAAGGUCCAAGUCUGUUUUCCUGUCAGAUCCACCUUCAGUCUUCACAGGGAUUUCCGUCUUGGAGUGAGUGCAAAUCAGCUCUAGGCUUUCCAGUGUGAGGGAGCGUCCUGGUCUCAAGCAACAUGGUGGAGUUGGCCUUCUACCCGGCGGUGGCACUGAUGUAUUUUUUUGGAGUGAUGAAAGCCACACAGGACGAUCGCGUGGAGCUGGACGACCGGGCAUCCAUCAACGUGUUCUGUCUGUUUGUGUUGGCACAGCCGCUGUGUCUGGUGAUAGGAGGAUACACAGGCAUGGCUACAUACCUCCUCACAGCCCUGAUCUCCUACAACUUCCUGCCGUGGAGGCAACAGCCUGCGAAGGGAAAAGAGUCAAAGAAGAAAAAAAAAUGAUAACAAGGAGCGUAUACUGGAGCUGUGGGGCUGAAGAGACAGUCUGUUCAAACAGGUUGUUAAAGAAAAUAAAUGUAUGUGUUGCUGAUUCAACCUGUUCCCACACAAGUGUUUUUCAGCUGCAGAUGUAAACAUCUGUGGACAAAUACAGCACAAUAUCCAGCAGAGAAGGUGACCCAUUUUACACUUCCUGAUGGUUUGUUUCUGACAAAUACGAACGGAUGAUCUGCAGUUUCCAUUACAUAUAAUAACCAUGAUGGAGAAGAAGAAGAA